rnacentral:rRNA from 1 species
CCUACGGGAGGCAGCAUUGAGGAAUAUUGGUCAAUGGACGCAAGUCUGAACCAGCCAAGUAGCGUGCAGGAUGACGGCCCUACGGGUUGUAAACUGCUUUUAGUUGGGAAUAAAAGGGGGCUCGUGAGCCCCGUAUUGUAUGUACCAUCGGAAAAAGUACCGGCCGAUUACGUGCCAGCAGCCGCGGUAAUACGGGAGGUCCGGGCGUUAUCUGGAUUUGUGGGGUUUAAAGGGGGCGUAGGGCGGCUUUUAAAUCAGUUGUUAAAGUCCGCGGCUCAACCGUGGAAUUGCAGUUGAAACGGGAGGCCUUGAGUGCACACAGAGAAGGCGGAAUUCAUGGUGUAGCGGUGAAAUGCUUAGAUAUCAUGAAGAACUCCGAUCGCGAAGGCAAGUGUCCGGGGUGCAACUGACGCUGAGGCUCGAAAGUGCGGGUAUCAAACAGGAUUAGAUACCCGAGUAGUC